CACUCACACAUUACAUAGCUGGUUUGUUGGAAUAUAGUUUGUAUAUUCAUCAGCAUAUAUUUCAUCAUUUUAAAGAAAUCUUUAUAAUCAUGUGUUUAUUCAUUAUAUUCUAAGUGGAUUCACUGUGCCCCGUGACACAAAUGCACUGUGCC